rnacentral:rRNA from 1 species
AACGAACGCUGGCGGCAUGCCUAACACACGCAAGUCGAACGAGAUCUUCGGGUCUAGUGGCGCACGGGUGCGUAACGCGUGGGAAUCUGCCCUUUGGUUCGGAAUAACAGUUGGAAACGACUGCUAAUACCGGAUGAUGACGAAAGUCCAAAGAUUUAUCGCCAGAGGAUGAGCCCGCGUAGGAUUAGCUAGUUGGUGUGGUAAAGGCGCACCAAGGCGACGAUCCUUAGCUGGUCUGAGAGGAUGAUCAGCCACACUGGGACUGAGACACGGCCCAGACUCCGACGGGAGGCAGCAGUGGUGAAUAUUGGACAAUGGACGAAAGCCUGAUCCAGCAAUGCCGCGUGAGUGAUGAAGGCCUUAGGGUUGUAAAGCUCUUUUACCCGGGAUGAUAAUGACAGUACCGGGAGAAUAAGCUCCGGCUAACUCCGUGCCAGCCGCCGCCGUAA